UAGAAUUGUUUGAAUCCUUUCCUGGAUUCUUUUUUUCAUAGAUAUGUUUUUUGUUAAAUUAAAUUUUGGGCUUUAUUUAUUAAUAGAAACAAAAUUACACACCAAGGCAAGGCGGCCCAAAUAAAAAAAACACAAAAAAUGUCCUAAACCUAAAAAUCAGCCCAAUCUGCCCUAGCCCACCUAAAAUUCUUGCAUAUAAAUUCAAUGUAGGGUUUCCCCUUUUCACCAUUUUCUUUUCUUUCCUAAACUUACUUCCAUCUGAGAAUGCUGCCUCCUGGAUUCAAUCCAUUUCUUCUUCUCUUACUUUUAUGGAUCAUCAACAGUGUGUCUUUGCUCUUGCCGUUUAUUUCUAUCUUAUCAUCUUUCAAAAGACCGGAAAAAUAUUAGAGAUGAAACUGGAAAACAACAACUUUUAUCGUGGUGGAAGACUCGGAUCAGACAAUUUCCAAAACUUUCAAGGAUGGUUCGAGAUUUGUUAUCAGCUCAAGCUUCUUCUGUUGCUUCGGAGCAAGCUUUCAGCGCAGGAAGGUUUAUAAUAGGAGAUCAUCGGUAUUCGUUAGCAAGGGAU